UGGGUGCCAAGGACCGCGCCAGGCUUUUCUGUGCAUUUUCUCAUUCACACCCAACUAUAGUCCUGUGAGGAAGGUACUCCUGCCCUCGGUUCCCAGAUGAGGGAACUCAGGUUCAGAAAGAUCACAUAAAUCGCUCAGGUACACAGCUGAGGGGAGGAGAAGGCAGGCUCUAAACUCAGGUGGGGAGUAGCCCUGUCCAACAGGAACAGAAUGUCAGUCAGGUAGGCAAUUUAAAAUUUCCCAGUAGUCACAUUAAAGUAAAAAAGAAAUUAGAAAUUAAUUAUAAUUAUCUUAUUUCACAUAAUAUGCCCAAACUGCUACCUUUUCAACAUACCCACUUCAGAAUUAUUAACAGCAUAUUUUAUGUCUUUUUGUUCGUAGGACGUCUUCAAAAUCUGGUGUGCAUUUCUUACUUCCAGCACAUCUCAACUGGGACGAGCACAUUUCAAGCUCUAAGCGCCACACAUGGCCAGUGGCUGCCACAAUGGCCUGCUGAUAUUCUAGAGGCCUCACCCUCAAUCAUUAGGCUGUCAGCCCCAAAACUAUUUUUUAAAGAUUUAUUUAUUUUAGGGACGGUGUGCACGUGCAAGUGGGGAGAAUCUCAAGCAGACUCUCUGCUGACCGUGGAGUCCCACCACACGAGCUCUAUCCCACGACCCUGCGAUCAUGACCUGAGCUGAAAAUCGAUACCCCCUACAGACAGAAGCUACCGGGACCCUUCCUUCCAAGGAGCUGGUGCAAGCAGCCUGAAUUUAUUCCACUGUGAUGGCUCUUAUGUGGCCCAGAAUGUGAUGGGCAGAGACACCCAGCUGGACAGUCAGGUCCUCAAGCGUGGCUGAAUGGAUGUGCAGGCACUGGAGUCAGAGGGCCGGGUUCCAAGAUACACCCCCAUCCAUGUGGUAAGGUCUCACUAGCUGAGAGCCCUGGGGCCACCCACCUGAACCAGCCAAGCCUCCGUUUCCAUGUAGACCAUGGGGGCUAAUAUCUGCCUCAUGGGCAGUUUUGUAGAUUGAAUGACGUUAAGGCAUAUUAUUUUUUUUGUUUAUUUUUCUAAAGAUUUAUUUAUUUGAGAGAAAGAGAGAGACUUGGGGCUCGAUCUCAUGACCCUGAGAUUAUGACCUGAGCGGAAAUCAACAGUCGGAUGCUUUAACAGACUGAGCCACCCAAGCACCCCAACAUAAGGCAUGUUUAGUACACAGCACAUUGCCAGACACAAAUAAUAGCUGUCAUUUACUGAAUAAUUACUAUCCGCUCACAAAAUGGAGAAACUAAUACCUAACUUGCAGGGCUGUCACAGGGGAAUCUGUGAAAUGGACAUCAGUAUCUUUAUGGCACAAGGCUGCACUAGAACUCUGAGUUUCCUUCCCUGCUCGGGUUACUCCAUCUCAGAGCAGCGAAAAGCAGAGGAACAUCUAAUACUGGGGUCGAGAACUCUGGCCUCUCUGUAAAUGGCCUGCAGCACUAAUUCCUAAGUGCUCGCCCACCUCCCCAGGGCCCCAUGGGAUGGGAAGUCUGGAGAGGAAGAGAACGGCCCGCAUCUAGACAUACGGAGGAUGCCCCAUUCUGUCUCCAAGAGAAUUACCUCCAGAAUUAUUGAUUUAACUCUACAGGAACCUGAAGGGAGGCUUCUGAUGGCAUCAUGGACACUCCUGCCACACGCUGCCACCAGGUGGAGGGCUGGUGCAAGCCAAACGGGCCCUGGGAGGCCCAGGCUCUGCUCCCUGCAGUCUGCACCCUAAGGCCUCCCCCUUCACUCUCUGGGGACAGAAGGCUCU